UACGAAGGGGGCUAGCGUUGCUCGGAAUCACUGGGCGUAAGGGUGCGUAGGCGGGUUUUUAAGUCAGAGGUGAAAUCCUGGAGCUCAACUCCAGAACUGCCUUUGAUACUGAAGAUCUUGAGUUCGGGAGAGGUGAGUGGAACUGCGAGUGUAGAGGUGAAAUUCGUAGAUAUUCGCAAGAACACCAGUGGCGAAGGCGGCUCACUGGCCCGAUACUGACGCUGAGGCACGAAAGCGUGGGGAGCAAACAGG
rnacentral:rRNA from 1 species